rnacentral:rRNA from 1 species
CCUGAGAAACCCAAAAGAUCGAAUGGGGAGAUUCAUCGUCAGCGAUUUUGGUACGUGUGCGGUUCGCGAUGCCGGAGGCUUCUGUCUCAUGGUACGCGUCCGCAUGUUUUUUAUUGCCUCGAUCGUCGGCGUGCACUUCUCCCCUAGUAGGACGUCGCGACCCGUUGGGUGUCGGUCUACGGCCCGGUGGGUAGUCUGUUUCGUGUGCGCUUCACGGCGUUACGCGGUUCAGACCCCCGGUUGCCCGACCGGCUGCCCGGCGGUACUCGCACGGUAUCUGGCCGCAAAUAUUCGAACUGCGUCCGGCCCGUCGCAAGCGAGGCAAGUGUUUCCCGGCUGUACGGAUCUAAUGCCGUCACCGGGCCUUGCCAGCUGUUGGCUGACGGUGUCCUAGGACUGGCUAACAAAAAUUAUGAUACCGGUCGGCGACGCUACUGCUUUGGGUACUUUCAGGA